rnacentral:tRNA from 5 species
GGUGUCGUGGCCGAGUGGUUAGGCAGCGGUCUGCAAAACCGCCUACAGCAGUUCGAAUCUGCUCGUCACCU